rfam:Triticum urartu cultivar G1812 contig688772, whole genome shotgun sequence.
AAUUUACUUCCUCCAUUCCAAAUUACUUGUCUUAGAUUUGUCUAGAUACAGAUAUAUCUAACACUGAAAUGAGUCUAGAUACAUCCGUAUCUAGACAAAUUCAAGACAAGUAAUUCGGAACGGAGGAGUAAAUA